rnacentral:rRNA from 1 species
UUAACUUGGGAGUCAGAACAUGGGUGAUAAGGUCCGUGUUCGAAAGGGAAACAGCCCAGACCACCAGCUAAGGUCCCAAAAUAUAUGUUAAGUGGAAAAGGAUGUGGCGUUGCCCAGACAACUAGGAUGUUGGCUUAGAAGCAGCCAUCAUUUAAAGAGUGCGUAAUAGCUCACUAGUCGAGUGACACUGCGCCGAAAAUGUACCGGGGCUAAACAUAUUACCGAAGCUGUGGAUUGUCCUUUGGACAAUGGUAGGAGAGCGUUCUAAGGGCGUUGAAGCAUGAUCGUAAGGACAUGUGGAGCGCUUAGAAGUGAGAAUGCCGGUGUGAGUAGCGAAAGACGGGUGAGAAUCCCGUCCACCGAUUGACUAAGGUUUCCAGAGGAAGGCUCGUCCGCUCUGGGUUA